GGGUCGACAUACAAAAAGAACGCAGCCAACUGCGAUAAAUAGUGUGAACUGCAGAAACCUUGAACACAAAACAUUCGAAUGCGCAUUGCGCCACCGGAGUAACAUCAGGUGGCACGUCUGGUUCA
rnacentral:rRNA from 1 species